UACGUAGGGGGCAAGCGUUGUUCGGAUUUAUUGGGCGUAAAGAGCGUGUAGGCGGCCUGGAAGGUCAGCUGUGAAAACUCGAGGCUCAACCUCGAGACGUCGGUUGAAACCACCUGGCUAGAGUCCGGAAGAGGAGUGUGGAAUUCCCGGUGUAGCGGUGAAAUGCGCAGAUAUCGGGAAGAACACCCGUGGCGAAGGCGGCACUCUGGGACGGUACUGACGCUGAGACGCGAAAGCGUGGGGAGCGAACAGG
rnacentral:rRNA from 1 species